GGGAGAUGAAGAGAUCCUCAAUAAAAUAUUAAUACAAACAAAGCUUGCCACCCUACGCGUUUCGUCUUAUUGACGUCAUCAGGGGCUUGUAGCAACACAAAAUACAAACAUAUACACACUUAAAUAUCCUACCUUAAAAGUCUUUAACCAAUCCUGAAAGUGCCUUCGAUCGGACACAUCUGUAGUUGAUCUCCUCCAUCGGGUUUCAUUAUCCUUUCGCGCUUUUAGAGGCGCGUGCGCUCCAAGCCUCGUUUUCACAAAACCAGAAGUCCUAGUUCAUCUGUAUCUGAAACGCAAAUGCGUUCCACUUCGGUCCGGAAACCGGAAAGAAGGUCUGGAUUGGAGCGCACGUACAUGUCAGUCCCUCCGAAACCGGAAACGAAGUCCGAAGUGGAAAUCAGAAUAUGUUCCACUCCUUAUUCUAUAGAUAUGGAACACUCAUAUAUUCCGAAGAAAAAGUUAUAUCAAAAACAAUAAAAAGAUAUAAAAACAAAAAAUAACAUUAAAAUGGAUAAAUCAAAUAUAUUUGUAUCAUCUUCCAUAAAAAUACUGAUAAUAAUAAAUAUCAUAAAAUACAAAAGCCAAUUACAAAAAACAUGCCAUAUCAAAAUCUACAUUCAUACCUUCUGGUUGCAUUGUUUUUAAAGUAUGAAUCCAAAAACCUUCUCUUUGUCUUAAUUUAAGUACCAGAUCUCCACCUCUCGCAUCUAAAGACACCUUUUCAAUCCCAAUACACGAAAAAGUACUUGGAUUAAAAUUCUGACACCUAUUGCAGUGAACGGGAACUGAAUGGGUUAAUAAUUUAUUUUUAAUAUUAUUAAAAUGUUCUAAAAAUCUUUUUUUCACUGGUCUAAUAGUCCGUCCGACAUAUUGAAUUCCACAACCACAUGUAAGGAGAUAAACUACAUGUGUGGAAUUACAUGUAAUAUGUUCUUUAAUUUUAAAAUUCU